CUGGCUAAGGCUCCUCCCCGACGAACCCCAUUCCUGCUUUCCCGCUCAAAUGUUGCAUUUUCUAAGACCUCCCUGGCCCGCCAUACGCCGAUCCUGAACCUACGAAAACCCAAGACUGCGGGCACGGUGGCUCAUGCCUGUAAUCCCAGCACUUUGGGAGGCCGAGGCGGGCAGAUCACGAGGUCAAGAAGUCGAGACCAGCCUUGCUAACAUGGCGAAACCCUGACUCUACUGAAAAUACAAAAAUUAGCUGGGCGUGAUGGCGUGCGCGCCUGUAGUCCCAGCUGCUCGGGAGGCUGAGGUAGGAGAAUCGCUUCAAUCCGGGAGGUGGAGGUUGCGGUAAGCAGAGAUUGCGCCACUGCACUCUAGCCUGGCGACAGAGACUCCUUCAAAAACAACAACAACAACAACAACAACAACAAAACAAAACCUCCCAAGACCCUAGUGGGCAGACACACAGCCAGCCAGACAUGGAGAGGAGCACAUUAGCAGAAGAAGACGCAAGUGGCUGGUCCUCGAGAGGACGUUGAGAGGAGCAUGCCAGCAGAAGAGCACACAACGACAGGCACCGACACACCACCGGCAGGCCAUGCACCAGCAGAAUGAUGCGGAGUUUGACGGGGCAGUCAGAGAAGAGCCUGGGCCGCCAAGGGGCCCGACUCCAGGGGAAAACCAUCUCCCUUCUGGCUCCCCCAUCUGCUGAGAGCUACUUCUACUCAAUAAAACCUUGCACUCAUUCUCCAAGCCCACGUGUAAUCCGAUUCUUCAGUGUCACCUCCCAAAUGUGGAAAUGCAUUGUCUUUCUUCUUUCCUAGACCAGUGGUCCUCAAACUUGAGCAGGUAUAAGAAUCAUCAUCUGGGUGCAGGGGCUCACACCUUAGUCCCAGCACUUUGGGAGGCUGAGUGGGUUGGAUUGCUCAAGGCCAGCCUGGGCAACAUAGUGAAACCUUGUUUCUACGAAAAAUAAAAGAUUAGCCAGGUAUGGUGGUCCGCCUGCAGUCCCAGCUACUUGGCAGCCUGGGGCAGGAGGAUGACUCGAGCCCAGGGAUUCGUGGCUGCAGUAAGCUAUGAUCAUGCCACUGCACCGCAGCCUGAGUAACAGGGUGAGACCCUGUCUCAGAAACAAAAACCAAAAAAAUCGUCAUCUGGAGAGUGUGUUGAACCUCAGAUUGCUGCCUCUCCCAUCCUCUGGAAUUCCCAGGUGAUGGUAAUGCUGCUGGUCCAGGGACUACACUUUGAAACCACUGGCCCAGACUAUUACCUCACUUACCUCUUCAUCUCUUCACAAGUAACCUCAUCAUUUUCUAAUCCAGGAAUCAACAAACCCUGGCCCUUUGAGCCAAAUCAAGCCCACAGGUUGUCUUCAUCAAUAAAGUUUUAUGGGAACACAACCAUGCCCAUUUGUUUACACAUUGUCCAUGUCUGCUACGAGGCAGAAAUAAGUAGUUGUGACACAGAUCAUAUGACCCACAAAGCCUAAAAUGUUUAUGAUCUGACCCUUUACAGAAAAUAAUUUUUUGGACCUCAUCUUUACCAUGCUACAAAAAUGGUCUUGCCAAAAAUACACCCAUCCAGUCACCCUCUAACUUAAAAGAUGGUUUCUCAUUGCCUGCAUAGUCAAGUCCCAUGUUUUCUAUGGUGUGACAACCCGUCCAACUCUGUUUUACCUAUCUCUUUGUCCAAUAAUUUAACCAUCCUUAACUUCUUAGUUUUCUUCAAGCAGUUCAAAUCCUCCAUGGUUUCCAAGUCUUCCCACAUCUUGUCGCUCUAUGUACAAUAUCCUUCUCUCAUUUCUUCACAGGAUAAGCAACCACAUCACAUGAGUUUAAUUUUUUUUUCUUAGAUCUACUCAUUUGUCAGUUUAAUUUUUGAGAUUUCAACUAUUCACUCUGUCUCUCACUCAAAGAGACAGGGAGAAUGAGGACAAUACUGCCUGCCCAUUCAUUUCACAUAAUGAGUUUAUGUUUGUGAAUGAACGUGAGAUGCGAGACUUUACCCUACCAUUCCCUCAGUCCACUCAGACCCCCGGUGCCCGUCCUGUGUUAGUGUGAGGCUUUCACCACAGAGGGUGUAAUCCCAGUGUUGAAGGAUAACCGUUUUUCAUACAACAGAGCCAAUAAACACAAGCCAACUUCUGCAUCUGGUGCUCAAAGAAGCAGCAACAAUCUGUUCCAAAGCUGGAGGAAAACUGGCUGUGUGGGGCUUACUGGAUACUGAAUAUCUAGAUACUAAAUACCUAGGUGCUGUACUUUAUGGGUGAUUUAAGGGUUCACUUCAAACAUCAGCAUUUAUUUGUUUAUAUUUUAUUAUUUUUUAUUUUUUUAAUUUUUUGAGAUGGAGUUUUGCUCCUGUUGCCCAGGCUGGAGUGCAAUGGCAUGAUCUCGGCUCACUGCAACCACUGCCUCCCAGGUUUAAGUGGUUCUCCUGCCUCAGCCUCCCGAGUAGCUGGGACUACAGGAGCACGCCGUCAUGCCUAAUUUUUGUAUUUUUAGUAGAGAUGGGGUUUCACCAUGUUGGCCAUGCCUGGUCUCGAACUCCUGACCUCAGGUGAUCCACCUGCCUUGGCCUCCCAAAGUGCUGGGAUUACAGGUGUGAGCCACCGCACCCGGCCAACAUCAGCAUUUAGAACCUAAACCCUAAAUAAAAUCUAACUCACUCUUUAAGCUUUGGCACAAAUGUCGUUUCUUAUUUGCUCUGAUGUGGGUCAGUCUUCCUUCAUGCUCCCGUAAGUAUCAGAGUUCCUUCAAUCAUUUGCACAUAUCUGUGUUAUAAUGUUGAACUGUAAUUAUUUAUUUAAUUUUCAGUCUCUCUCCUUUAGGCAGUGAGCUCUCCAAGGACAAAGGCAUAUUAUUUGUUUAGCUAGCUUUUAGAGAUAGGGUCUUGCUAAGUUUCCCAGGCUGGAGUGAAGUGGCUAUUCAUAGGUGAGAUCCCACUAUUAAUUAGCACAGAAAUUUUGACCUACUUCAUUUCUGACCUGGGCCAGUUCACCUCUCCUUAGGCAACCUAGUGGGCCUCACUCCUGGGAGGUCAUGAUAUUGAUGCCAGUUUAGUGUGGACACCCAGUGAGCAUAGCUCACUACAGCCCAGAAGUUCUGGGCUCAAGCUGUCCUCCUGCCUCAGCUCCCAAGUAUCUGGGACUACAGGUACAUGCCACCAUGUCCAGCAACAAAGACAUAUUUUAGUUAUCCUGUGUUUGUGUCUGUCUCAAUACCUAGCCUUAGUAUAAACAUUUAGCAAAUGUUUAUUGAUGAAAUGGAUGAAGUCCCACCUCCCAUUUUGGACCACUUGCCCUUCUCAGAAAUGAUCUAUGAACUCUCACUGAAUGUUCAGUUAACGUCCAUGGUUUAUCAUUUCAAUGCAUUUUAAUUCUUCCAGUAUUCAUUUUUCUUCUCCACUAGGUUUAAGCAUGGUCAUAGCAGAAUCAAUGUGCUCACCCCAUCAUGAAAAAAAAAAUGUGUUAAUGAAUUGAUUACUACUUUGAGUGUGCCAUAUUUUAAAGACGAAGAGAAACUAAUCAAGUUAGUUUUUAUUUGGUCAGAGGCUUGUUUGUGCCUGCUUAUCUAAAGUUAUAAAGGCCCCAAAUAUGGCUCCGUGUUGCAGAGGGACUGUCUCUUCUUAUAUCGACAGAGCCCAUAUUCACAAUGUAUCACACUUACCUCGAUGUAUUGUCUGGAGUUUCCUAGGCUGUGUCCUUUGCCUGGAAUGCUCUCUCUUGCUGGCUGGCUUCUUCCCACCAGCUGUGGCCAGGGCUGCUCCUUAUUCCUUCGUCAAAACUCCGUCUGCUGGGUGUGGUGCCUCACACCUGUAAUCCCAGCACUUUGAGAGGCCAAGGUGGGAGUAUCGUUUGAGCCCAGGAGUUCAAGACAAGCCUGGACAACAGAGCAAGACCCUGUCUCUACCAAAGAAAAGAAAAGAAAAGAAAAGAAACAGCCACUUUCUCUUCCAUGAGCCAGUUUAUGUUUUCUUCACGGCAUUUGUUACAAAUCACAAAUGUGGAGGAAAAAUGAAGGCAAAGCAAAAUAACAGGCAAGUCUGAAAACAAAAGUGUUGCCAGUCACGCUAAGCCUCAGGCACGCAUUCUGAAUGAAGCUAAAGUUUAAAGUCCCCUCUGAUAGAUUUGUGACUUAAAUGUCCACACUAGCAAGUGUGUUUCUCACAUGGAGAAGUAGCACGAUUUUAUGUCAGGAAAGGGAUGAGAACAUGCUUCUUGAACACAUACAAUGCUGAAGACAUUUCCUGGAAAACCAUUGGCCUUUGCUUAGGACAGUUGCAUCACACAGAGAUGUUUGUGGUUCAGAUUUAUAAGAAACAUGGGAACUGAAGCCAAAGCACUACUUUUGCUCAGUAUAACCAGGUGCCAGAUCUAAAGUGUUAGGCAGGUUCCUAUAUGUAUGUUAGAAAAAAGUUGCCCAAGUUUUGGACAAUUCCUUUUCCAUCUCUCUUACAAGUCAACAAAUCGAAGCAAUAAACUAUUCUCUGAAGAAAACAAAUUUAUUUGGUUGAUUCAAACUUUUAAUGAGACUAUUACUCCCCUGUGUGCCUUUCCUUUCUCUGGUUCUAGAAAUACAUCUAGAAAGGGGGAAAAUGUUAAUAUAUUUUCUACUGACUUUAUAUCACAAAUGCUUAGCUUAGAGGGUGGACUCUGAGGAACAGUGUCCUUUCCAAAUAUUAUAAAACUUUGUGUUCAUUCUGGAAAAACAAACAAAAUUAAUCACAAUGAUUUCCUGCUUUGGAGCAAUGAGAAAUGGGAGGGAAACUUCACCUUUUCAUAGCUUUUGAUGUUUGCACCAUGUGAAUUACCCACCCCCAAAUUUAAAAUACGAAUUUUUGAAAAAGUGUUUACCUCUGAGAAGAGAAACUAGUAGUGAAGAAUGAGGAGCUGUAGAUUUUUAACGAUUCUGAUGUAUUUGCAUUUUUCCCAAUGUUCAUGAAUAAAUAAAUGUGCAUUCAUAAUUAAAAAGAAUAAACAACCUGGAAAAAACAAAAAAA
rnacentral:lncRNA from 1 species